rnacentral:rRNA from 1 species
CAGCAGCCGCGGUAAUACGGAGGGGGCUAGCGUUGUUCGGAAUUACUGGGCGUAAAGCGCACGUAGGCGGCUAUUCAAGUCAGAGGUGAAAGCUUGGAGCUCAACUCCAGAAUUGCCUUUAAGACUGCCGAGCUAGUAGGUGAGAGAGGUAAGUGGAAUUCCGAGUGUAGAGGUGAAAUCCGUAGAUAUUCGGAAGAACACCAGUGGCGAGGGCGGCUUACUGGCUCAUUCUAGACGCUGAGGUGCGAAAGCGUGAGGAGCAAACAGGAUUAGAUACCCCGGUAGUCCCUGUCUCUUAUAC